rnacentral:rRNA from 1 species
AGAUAUGAUCCAGAGUACCACGGGACACGUGAAACCCUGUGGGAAGCAGGAGGGACCACCCUCCAAGGCUAAAUACUACCUAGUGACCGAUAGCGUAUAGUACCGUGAGGGAAAGGUGAAAAGAACCCCGGGAGGGGAGUGAAAUAGAACCUGAAACCCUGCACUUACAAGCUGUGGAAGCACAUUUCUUGUGUGACCGCGUACUUUUUGUAGAACGGGCCAACGAGUUACGUUAAGUAGCAAGGUUAAGCACUUAAGGUGCGGAGCCGUAGCGAAAGCGAGUUUUAACUGAGCGUUCAGUUACUUGACGUAGACCCGAAACCGGGCGACCUACCCAUGAGCAGGAUGAAGCGAAAGUAAAAUUUCGUGGAGGUCCGAACCCACGAGCGUUGAAAAGCUCGGGGAUGACUUGUGGGUAGCGGUGAAAUUCCAAUCGAGCCCGGAGAUAGCUGGUUCUCCCCGAAAUAGCUUUAGGGCUAGCCUCAAGGUGAGAGAUACGGAGGUAGAGCACUGAAUGUCCUAGGGGGUAUUGCACCUACCGAAGACUAUCAAACUCCGAAUGCCGUCAUCUUAUACUUGGGAGUCAGACUGUGGGUGAUAAGAUUCAUAGUCGAAAGGGCAACAGCCCAGAUCGUCAGCUAAGGUCCCUAAAUGUAAGUUAAGUGGUAAAGGAUGUGGGAUUGCACAGACAACCAGGAUGUUGGCUUAGAAGCAGCCACUCAUUCAAAGAGUGCGUAAUAGCUCACUGGUCGAGUGAUCCUGCGCCGAAGAUUUCCGGGGCUAAAACUUACUACCGAAGCUACGGCAUCAGUAAUGAUGGGUAGGGGAGCUUCCCAUACGGGUUGAAGCAUGACCGUAAGGACAUGUGGACAGUAUGGGAGUGAGAAUGUUGGCAUGAGUAGCGAGAUGUGGGUGAGAAUCCCACAGGCCGUAAACCCAAGGUUUCCAGGGGAAGGUUCGUCCGCCCUGGGUUAGUCGGGACCUAAGCUGAGGCCGAAAGGCGUAGGUGAUGGACAACAGGUUGAUAUUCCUGUACUACCGAUAACCGUUUGAGAGAAGGGAUGACACAGUAGGAUAAGCUAAGCACACUGUUGGUUAUGUGUGCCCAAGCAUUGAGGCAGUCAAAGUAGGCAAAUCCGCUUUGAUAAUGCUGGGAUGUGAUGGGGAGCGAAAUUUAGUAGCGAAGUAGCUGAUUUCACACUGUCAAGAAAAGUCUCUAUCGAGGUUAAAGGUACCCGUACCGCAAACCGACACAGGUGGGUGAGGAGAGUAUCCUAAGGCCAGCGAGAGAACUGUUGUUAAGGAACUCGGCAAAAUGACCCCGUAACUUAGGGAUAAGGGGUGCCACCAUCAGGUGGCCGCAGAGAAUAGGCCCAAGCGACUGUUUACCAAAAACAUAGGUUUCUGCUAAGUCGCAAGACGAUGUAUAGGAGCUGACGCCUGCCCGGUGCUGGAAGGUUAAGGGGAUCUGUUAGAGCAAUCGAAGCAGUGAACUUAAGCCCCAGUAAACGGCGGCCGUAACUAUAACGGUCCUAAGGUAGCGAAAUUCCUUGUCGGGUAAGUUCCGACCCGCACGAAAGGCGUAACGAUUUGGGCACUGUCUCAACAACAGACUCGGUGAAAUUGUAAUUCCGGUGAAGAUGCCGGAUACCUGCGACAGGACGGAAAGACCCCAUGGAGCUUUACUGUAGCUUGACAUUGGGUCUUGGUACUACAUGUACAGGAUAGGUGGGAGGCUUUGAAACCAGGACGCCAGUUUUGGCGGAGCCAUCCUUGGGAUACCACCCUUGUAGUACUGGGACUCUAACCAUAGGCCAUGAAUCUGGUCUUGGGACACUGUCAGGUGGGCAGUUUGACUGGGGCGGUCGCCUCCCAAAAGGUAACGGAGGCGCUCAAAGGUUCUCUCAGUACGGUCGGAAAUCGUACGUAGAGUGUAAAGGCAAAAGAGAGCUUGAUUGCAAGACAUACAGGUCGAGCAAGGAUGAAAAUCGGACUUAGUGAUCCGGUGGUUCUGCGUGGAAGGGCCAUCGCUCAACGGAUAAAAGCUACCCUGGGGAUAACAGGCUUAUCUCCCCCAAGAGUCCACAUCGACGGGGAGGUUUGGCACCUCGAUGUCGGCUCAUCACAUCCUGGGGCUGUAGUAGGUCCCAAGGGUUGGGCUGUUCGCCCAUUAAAGUGGUACGCGAGCUGGGUUCAGAACGUCGUGAGACAGUUCGGUCCCUAUCCGUCGCAGGCGUAGGAAAUUUGAGAAGACCUGUCCUUAGUACGAGAGGACCGGGAUGGACGUACCUCUGGUGUACCAGUUGUCCUGCCAAGGGCAUGGCUGGGUAGCUAUGUACGGAAUGGAUAAGCGCUGAAAGCAUCUAAGCGCGAAGCCAACUUCAAGAUAAGAUUUCCCACCGCAAGGGUAAGACCCCAGAAAGACUAUCUGGUUGAUAGGUCGAAGGUGUAAGUGCAGCAAUGUAUUUAGCUUAUCGAUACUAAUAGGUCGAGGACUUGACCAA